rnacentral:lncRNA from 1 species
AUUAAUUCCAGAGGAAGUGGUUUCUGAUAAGACAGAAGUCUAUGGAGAACAAUCCGAGUUGUCUCCCAUUACUGUAGAUGUUCAACAUGAAAGAAUAUCAGAAGCUGCUGAUCAGAUACAUUCUGUGGAGGUCAUGAUUAGUGAAGAACCUUCUUUUGAAGAAACAGUUGUUGGAAAACUUCCAGUGAUCUCUGUUAUGAUUUCCACUCAAGAGGCUGAAGUGUCAGAAGAAGUGCCACAGAGAAUCCCAUCUCCAAAAGCAUCUCCUAGUCUAAAGGAGGCUGAAGGAAUAUUAGAAAAGGCACCACAGAGAAUCCCAUCUCCAAAAACAUUCAUUCUAGAUAAGGCUGAAGAAAUUUCAGAAGAAACGCCACAGAAAAUCACAUCUCCAGAAACAUCUCCAAGUCUAAAGGAGGCUGAAGGAAUGUUAGAAGAAGCACUACAGAAAUUCACAUCUCCAAGAACACCUCCCAGUAUAGAAGAAGGUGAGGGAAUUUCAGAAGAAGCACUACAGAAAAUCACGUCUCCAAGAACAUCUCUUACUCUAGAGGAAGCCAAAGGACUAUCAGAAGAAGCACCACUAAGAAUCACAUCUCCAAAAGCAUCUCCUAGUGUAAAGGAGGCCGAAGAAAUAUCAGAAGAAAUUUCACAGAGAAUCCCAUCUCCAAAAGCAGCUCUGAAAGCACCUUUUGAAAAAGAUGAAUUCCAGGAACCUAAGGAUGUGUCACCCAAGCCCAGCAUGGACGAGAUUCCUUCUGAAGAAAUAAUUCCUGCAGAAGUAGUUUCUGAAGAAGCACAACUUCAUAAGGAAGCUUCAUUGGAAGAAAAGCUGUAUUCAGCACAUGCUUUUAAAGACUUUGUGCAGACAUGCUUGAAGAAAGUGGCUGAUGCAAUCAGACAUACAAGAACUCAUGUCAGUGAUAAAGAUUAUUCAGAAAGUGCAGAUGGGGAAGAGGAACCCAGAAAGCUCUCCAGCAGAAUUCCAAGUCAAGAGCGAGCUGAGGGAAGGGAAGAAGAAACCCCGGAGGAAAUUGUGCCUACAAUUGCUCCUGAGCCGUCUGUUACAUCAGGUAACUUUGUGACUGCAGAAAUUAUCCUUUGGAUUCAUUUAAACAAAUACUGAAAAGCUAAACAGCUAAAUGGCACUUUUUAUUUUAGCUACAGGUGAUUUUCAGCAGUCUCAGGAUGUUUCUUUAAGGUCCAGCGCAGUCGAGCUUUCUUCUGCUGCUAAGGACAGUUCUGCAGCUUUAUCAGGUGAAAAGGUUCUUGAUUUAACGGUGUUGCAUAGCAUUCCAUCACCAUCUUGCAAGCCAUUUUGCUUUCCUUCCUUUACAGUGUCUUUAGAAGAAGUACGCGUAAGUGUUCCUGUCAGCUCUUCAAGAGAUGUCAGUGAAGGAGCGCUUUCUGUGUCAGCAGGUGUGGUUGCAGAAGAGGAGGGUGUAGAAAAGGAAGUAGAAACAACAGAGAAAGCUACAUCUCCUGCUGUCUCUCCAAAACCAUCAUUUGCUCCAGGUAUGAGGAGCUAAUGGGU